rnacentral:lncRNA from 1 species
GAAUGGGGAGUGACUGCUAAUGGGCAUAGAAUAUUAUUUUGGGGUGAUAAAAAUGUUCUAAACUUGAUUAUAGAAAUGAGACAGGAUAGUUCCCUUGACCCACUUCGUGGGUGGGAAUGGAAGUGGCUCAUUUCACUUAGCCUGCCACUGGCCACUCCUCAUGAGACAGAGUGUGCCAGCAAGGGAGUGUGGGAACUGGAGAGAAUGAACCCUGGACCUGGCCACUCUUCUCUGGCGGAAGCAGGUUCCGUGCGGGCCCUACAGCAGCAUCCAAGCCCCUGUCCUCUCGGCACCUGAGUUCUUGUUUGGCAUCCAGGAAGAAUUAGGUCACCCACACGGAUUGAAAGAGGCACAUCUAACUGCCAUUAGGAUAUGGACAACGACCAGUCUUUCCGUUGUUUAACGAAAGCGGCAGUUGGAUUCCUCCCAGAAGUCUACCCAAGGAUCCCCAGCGAAAGGGAGCCAUAGUCCGAGGCUCUGGCUGCCUGCCUGUUUGGAGCUUUGAUGGCCUCGAGGCCCCCAGAUGAGACAGGAUUGUUCCCUUCAUCUUAACCCCCUUCGUGGGCGGGAACUGGAGCAGCUCAUUUCACUCAGCUCGCCUCCUGCCACUCCUGGCGGCAGAGCGUGCGAGUGCGGGAACCGGAGCGACCGAAUGCUGGAACCGGCCGGUCACUCCUCUCUGGCGGGAAUAGGCUCUGUGCGGGCCUCACAGCAGCGUCCAAGCCCUGGCCUCUCGGCACCGGGGUACCUGUCCGGCGUCCAGGAAGAAUUAGGUCAUAUGAACGGAUUGAAGAGUAGUGUAUGCGGAAGAUUUGAUUGAGUGGUGGCUCCUGGUGGGAUGGGUACUGGAAAGCAGACGGUGAAAGAGGGUCAUCUUUCCCUGAAGCCGCACCAUCUGAAGUUAGCUGCGUCUAUCUGUAGUCUUCAACACUCUUGCUGCUUCUCUGCUCACCGCUCAGCCGCUUGUGUUGCUCUGCCAGCUGAAGUCUUUUUUAUGGCCACAGGAUAGGGGCGUGGCAGGCCAAAAAAACAACAUUUGGGCAGAAAAACAGGGUCAGCUGUUUUCAAGGCCGUGAUUCCAGGCUUAAGGGUGGGGUUUAGCUGGGAACCCAGCCAUUCUGUAUCAGUGAUAGUUGCACAACUAUAAAUAUACUAACAACCAUUGAAUUGUGUACUUUAAGUAGAUUAACCGUAUGAUAUAUGAAUUACAUCUCAGUAAAGUUGUUUUUUAAAAAAUAUGCAUAUACCUUAGUCUAGCCGUUCCAGGUCAUAUACUACAGCGAUAGUAACAAAGAUAUAAUAUGUGGUUUAUAAUAAUAAAUAUUGGAAAUACUUAAUCUUGCAAAUGCAUGAUCAGUAAGGUAGUGGAGGCAAAAACUAGGUUUCCCAGGAGCUUCAGGCUUCUCAACUUCCAAGUAGUAAUCUCAAGGAAGUACGUACUCUGACUGAAACUGUUUAUGUCACAGACCUACUCCUUAGACCAAUCACUGUUCCCAUAGAGAUAGCUCAUUAUGAUUUGUGGAGUCAGAAUCAUGUGCCCACUGCUGAAAUCAGGAAUUCAGGGUCCUGGGAGAGUCACCCGUGCCACCCACCUAAUGUUUUCUGGAAGUUUGACUUUAAAAGGAAGAAGACAGCAAGAGAUCAAUAUAGCUAGAGUGUGGAGAUGAGGUGUUUUCUUUAAAAUAGAGGUGACUUGAACACGUUUAAAUGCUUGUGCAAAGUAGCCAAUAUAGAGGGAGCAGUUAAAGACACAAAAGAAAUAGAAUAUUUCUAAUCAAUAGAUCUCAGGAAAUUAUUAUUUCCCACUAUCCCUCAGAAAAUUAUAUUCAAUAAAGGAAUUUGUUUCUGG